rnacentral:rRNA from 1 species
AUUGAACGCUGGCGGUAUGCUUAACACAUGCAAGUCGAACGGCAGCACAGUAUGUAGCAAUACAUAUGGGUGGCGAGUGGCGGACGGGUGAGUAACGCGUAGGAAUCUACCCUAAAGCGGGGGACAACCCGAGGAAACUCGGGCUAAUACCGCAUAAUCUCGAAAGAGUAAAGCUGGGGCAACCUGGCACUUUAGGAGGAGCCUGCGUCCGAUUAGCUAGUUGGUGAGGUAAAGGCUCACCAAGGCGAUGAUCGGUAGCUGGUCUGAGAGGAUGAUCGGCCACACUGGGACUGAGACACGGCCCAGACUCCUACGGGAGGCAGCAGUGGGGAAUAUUGGACAAUGGGGGCAACCCUGAUCCAGCAAUACCGCGUGUGUGAAGAAGGCCUUAGGGUUGUAAAGCACUUUAGUUGGGGAAGAAGGAUAGUUGUUUAAGAGAUGAUUAUUUUGACGGUACCCAAAGAAUAAGCACCGGCUAACUCUGUGCCAGCAGCCGCAGUAA